ensembl:lncRNA
AGUCCUGAGACACUGAAAGUUUCCACCUCUCCGGGCUCAUGCCCAGACCAACCGAGUCACUAGGCAGGUAAAACCUUCUGGUAAUGAGCGAGGCAAAGGCAAACCUGUUUGGCUUUACUGAAGAGUGUGAAGAACACCAGCCGAAAGUAGACUGUCCGUGGCUCUGCGCCAGUGAUGUGUCAGUACCAGCUUGUGAGAGCAGAAUGGACGCAUCUCUUCCCAUCUCCAGGUACAGCGAUGUCAAGUGGAUAGCUUAGAAUCAACCAAAAUAUAAAUAUUUAUACUUCAGAAAUUGGCAAAAUCUACAAACUGGGGACUUUUCUCCUCAGAAAUCUGGUUUUGAGAUGUUUACCAUUAUGCUACUAAAUGUAUGUCAUUUGAUGUCUGAAGUCAUUUAUAACCCAGACUCAUGUAUUUAUCCUAGCAAUAAGGAGACUUGUGUUUUGAAAUUUAAUAAAAGCCAUUUUUUUACCUGAUAAUUGAUAAAUUUUCUUAGCAGCUGAAACUGAGGGCAUAUAUAGUUAUAUGUGAUCUAUAUAAGGAGAAUAAUAAAAGUAACUAGAUUAUUGGGUCAUUAUGAGAAUUAAGUGUGUUAGUAGAUGUAAAUUUUCAAAGGUAAAGCAUUUAAAGCAGCGCCAAUAUUAGCUUCUAGUAUUUCCAUAUCCAGACUCUAGUUCUAUGAAACACAGCACAUUUAGACUAAUGCCAUCUAGGCUGAGUCUGGAGCUGACCCUGGGCUUGGAGUUGGCAGAACGGUUUGUCUAUCUUUGAUUCGCCAUUUCCAACCAUGUAUUCUCAAGUAAGUCAACCUCAGUAUGCCUGACUCUUUUCAUCAGUAGGCAAAGCUUAAUGUCACCCAUCUCGCCAGUUAGAGGGAGGAUAGACAAGAUAAUACCUGGGAAGGCGCUUUGCUAAUGGCAGCAUACCACAUAAGCCUAAGGUAUUAUUAUCUCACAACAAUAUGAUCUGGAAAUGUGUGCAGUAAGACUCAGGCUGACAUUCUGUUGAAAAGAAGAAAUAAAUGAGUCACAUCUUCCUUUGCCUCUCACCCUUUUCUGUCAAAAGCAGUGAAUCAUUGACCAAAAAUGAAAACAAGGUUGUCAGAAAGGCUCAUAUGAAAGUUUUAUUCUACUUAAAUAAACUCUGAAGGUAUUGACUGGAAACCAAUAUACUGAACUCAACUACUAUAGAAACUAACAUGAGGCUGGGUGUGGUGGCUCAUGCUUGUAAUCCCAGCACUUUGAGAGGCCAAGGCAGAUGGAUUGCUUGAGGUCAAGAGUUUGAGACCAGCUUGGGCAACAUAGCGAAACCCCAUCUCAACAAAACAAAACAAAAAUUAGCUGGGCAUGGUGGUGCAUGCCUGUAGUCCUGGCUACUGAGGAGGCUGAGGUGGGAGGAUUGCUUGAGCCUGGGAAGUGGACGUUGAAGUGAGCCGAUCCAAGAUCAUGCCACUGCACUCCAGACUGGGAAACAAAGCAAGACUUUAUCUCAGAAAAAAAAGAAAAAGAAAAUAGAAAAAAAUGAACACAAAGGUGCUCAAUAUACCUUAUCUAUUUUUCUAUUAUAUAAAAUACAA